AGCUGUGGUGUAGGUCACAGACGCGGCUCAGAUCCCAUGUUGCUGUGGCUGUGGGGUAGGCCAGCAUCUACAGCUCUGAUAUGACCCCUAGCCUGGGAACUUCCACAUGCCAUAGGUGCGGCCCUAAAUUAAAAAAAAAAAAAAAAAAAGGAGUGCUGGCUUAUAUCUCCAUUUAUCCUCUAUGGUCUCCCAAUAAAGUAAGAGUUUGGAUAGGAGCACCGUGCCCUCCCAAAAGGACAGCCCCUUCUACUUUCUCUCCUCCUAACCUGAACUUAUUGGACACCCUACAGAAUCAGCUCACCUGUGCCCCUCAAGAACCUCGCUGGAAACCCUUCUGCCAAGCUCAUCUCCUGAUUGAAAAAUCCCUCUACUAUGCUCAAGAAUAUCAGAGAGAGAAUCAGUUCACACUUGAUGCUUAUUGAUCAGCUUCUCCCUAUUACUAUUAAAAUUAUGCCGGAAUGACAUAAUAAUAAUUCGAAAAAGGAAAAUGUUUAAGGUAAAUGAAUAUCUAAUUAUUAAAUAUUCAUAUUGUGUUCAUUUUAUUUUGAUCGUUAAUCUUUACUGUCUGUGUGCAAGAAAAAUUAGGGCAAAGAUCAUUCGAAGAAAGACAAUUAUUUUAGAAAUUAUCCUAACGUCAAAUGAAGAUGGUCUGAAAGAAGGAAGUGACAGAAAAUAAAAAGGAAGGUGUUUUUUUUUAGAAAACAAAGAUGAGAAAUGUUGAAGAUGAAACUUGGUGGGCAUUAGUAAGGUACCCAAGGUGCUCUUGAGACUUCAAUACAAACAGAUUAGGGUAACAAUGGUACAAUCAAUGUUUGUAGAGAGGAUGGUACACAGGAGAGAGAGUAGGUCCAGAAAUAAAAAGACAUCAUCAAGACAUUUGUCUUGAUUGGACAGAAUGGGUUCUUUUCAGGUGGUUUUAAGAGAGAGGAAUGGCCGCUCUUGGGCUGAGCCUUGGAACAUGGCUGCAGAUAAUUGAAUUCAUCACAUUUGGAAUGGGUGCCUUAGAUGAUACACAGUUUAAUAAAUAAGGAAGUUUAUAAAUAAGGAAGAAGAGGCCCAGAGAUGGGUGUAAAACAGGAAGGAUGACGAAGUGGUAAAGACAGAGGAAUGAGGCCAAAGUGGCAGAGGGUGGACCAAAAGACUGCCCCUUACUGGAAGGCAAAGGAAAGUGCCCUCAGGCAGAUAUUAGUUAGCAGUGUCCUUGCUCAGCCACCCAUGGGAAGGAGGAUACCCAAAGUGAGAUAAUUCCAGAAAAAAUAGGAAAAGAAAGAUUUCUAGGCCCAGAUGAAAGAAUUAGCCUUGGAACAGUAGGAGGGAAAAAUGAGAGAAUGAGUGUUGAAAGAGAGUUUAUUAGUCAAAAUGUAUGACUAAAAGCUAGAGCAAAAGAAUUUGGCUAACUCAUGCAAACAGCAGAGUAUUUGGAAGGCUUUGGGGUAACUAUUAAAAUUCAUUGGAAGACAGGGAGUUCUCUUGCGGCACAGCAAUUAAGGACCCAAUGUUGUCACUGCAGUGCCUAGUGUCACUGCUGUGGUGUGGGUUCAGGCCCUGGCCUAGGAACUUCCACAUGCAGCAUGUGUGGCAAAAAAAAAAAAAAAAAAAAAAAAAAAAUUCAAAUCACAGGAAGACCAGAUAACUAGGCUCAGAAAAGGACUGAACCAAGGGAGACAGCUCAAAAACAACACGCAAGUUCAAACCAUAGGCUAAACCUGUAGGUUAGACCAAGCUACUGGCACUAAACUGAGAACACAGGUGUCAUCCUGCCACAGCUAUUGUCAACUCAAAAUUGUGAAACCCCCAACCAUUUUCCCAAGAUUCAAAAGCCUUGUGGCAUGUGUCUUAUUAGCUAAACCUCCAUCAUCUCCCACUGUUCCCCCCCCCGUCCCCACCCCCACUAUGACUUUUAAGUCUACCUGACUCUUCUGCUUUGGCAGUCAGAGCCUAGGCAUCCUUGGUUUUCCUACACUGGGUGCAGUGUAGAAAUUCCCUCAAAAAGUAAUAAGGUAAGAGGUAGAUGGUCCUCACUGGCUGAGAACAGCUGAGAACUAGGCUGAGUGAAUUGGGCUUUGCUUCUCUUUGACACCUCAAAGAGAAAGUUGACGGCAGGAGCUGAGCUCUCAUCUCGGUAAAAAGAUAAGACGACCACAUCAGUCAUUCCUGGGGUCAAUGAGACACAUGUGCAGAAAGAUUCCUCGGUAUCAAAAAGAAGGUAUGCCAGGCCAUGAUAAGUCCUGUUAGCCACCCCAUAACCCUUUGCUCUGGAAAACUUCUUAGCCAAAAGAUGAGCCCUCGGGGAGGGCCCUGGGUCCAUUCAGGUGUGAGAAAUAAAACAAGAUAACUGACCAAAGGAAAACAAAGACCUGGAAGAAGUGCCCCAUAUAAGUGGUUUAAAUCACCUCGUCUGGUGUGUUCCUUAUUCAGGGGGAUGCCCACACCCACACUCCACUCUGGGUGUGUAUUACUGCUUCACUUCUGUCUUAAAUAAAUAAAUUCCUUCUCUGUGUGCUCUCCCACAUGUUGUGCCAUGUAUCUAAUAAUAAACUUUGGACCUGUUUUUACAGUCUUUGCCUCCUUGAAACAUUUUUGUUGUUGUUGUUGUUGUUUUGUUUUUUUGUCUUUUUAGGGCCGCAUCGGCGCCAUAUGGAGCUUCCUGGGCUAGGGGUCCAGUCGGAGCUUCAGCUGCUGGCCUACACCAGCGCCACAGCAACAUGGGAUCCAAGCCACAUCUGUGAC
rnacentral:lncRNA from 9 species